GAUGAACGCUGGCGGCGUGCCUAAUACAUGCAAGUCGAGCGAACAGACGAGGAGCUUGCUCCUCUGACGUUAGCGGCGGACGGGUGAGUAACACGUGGAUAACCUACCUAUAAGACUGGGAUAACUUCGGGAAACCGGAGCUCAUACCGGAUAAUAUAUUGAACCGCAUGGUUCAAUAGUGAAAGACGGUUUUGCUGUCACUGAUAGAUGGAUCCGCGCCGCAUUAGCUAGUUGGUAAGGUAACGGCUUACCAAGGCAACGAUGCGUAGCCGACCUGAGAGGGUGAUCGGCCACACUGGAACUGAGACACGGUCCAGACUCCUACGGGAGGCAGCAGUAGGGAAUCUUCCGCAAUGGGCGAAAGCCUGACGGAGCAACGCCGCGUGAGUGAUGAAGGUCUUCGGAUCGUAAAACUCUGUUAUUAGGGAAGAACAAAUGUGUAAGUAACUAUGCACGUCUUGACGGUACCUAAUCAGAAAGCAACGGCUAACUACGUG
rnacentral:rRNA from 1 species